rnacentral:rRNA from 1 species
UAAAAAAAGGUAAGCUACUAAGAGCGAAUGGUGGAUGCCUUGACUGGUAAAGGCGAUGAAGGACGUACUAGACUGCGAUAAGCUACGGGGAGCUGUCAAGAAGCUUUGAUCCGUAGAUUUCCGAAUGGGGCAACCCAAUGUAUAGAGAUAUACAUUACCUAUAUAGGAGCGAACGAGGGGAAUUGAAACAUCUUAGUACCCUCAGGAAAAGAAAUCAAUAGAGAUUGCGUCAGUAGCGGCGAGCGAAAGCGCAAGAGGGCAAACCCAGUGCUUGCACUGGGGGUUGUAGGACUGCAAUGUGCAAGAGCUGAGUUUAGCAGAACAUUCUGGAAAGUAUAGCCAUAGAGGGUGAUAGUCCCGUAUGCGAAAAACAAAGCUUAGCUAGCAGUAUCCUGAGUAGGGCGGGACACGAGAAAUCCUGUCUGAAUCCGGGUCGACCACGAUCCAACCCUAAAUACUAAUACCAGAUCGAUAGUGCACAAGUACCGUGAGGGAAAGGUGAAAAGAACUGAGGUGAUCAGAGUGAAAUAGAACCUGAAACCAUUUGCUUACAAUCAUUCAGAGCACUAUGUAGCAAUACAGUGUGAUGGACUGCCUUUUGCAUAAUGAGCCUGCGAGUUGUGGUGUCUGGCAAGGUUAAGCAAACGCGAAGCCGUAGCGAAAGCGAGUCUGAAUAGGGCGCUUAGUCAGAUGCUGCAGACCCGAAACGAAGUGAUCUAUCCAUGAGCAAGUUGAAGCUAGUGUAAGAACUAGUGGAGGACUGAACCCAUAGGCGUUGAAAAGCCCCGGGAUGACUUGUGGAUAGGGGUGAAAGGCCAAUCAAACUUCGUGAUAGCUGGUUCUCUCCGAAAUAUAUUUAGGUAUAGCGUUGUGUCGUAAUGUAAGGGGGUAGAGCACUGAAUGGGCUAGGGCAUACACCAAUGUACCAAACCCUAUCAAACUCCGAAUACCUUAUAUGUAAUCACAGCAGUCAGGCGGCGAGUGAUAAAAUCCGUCGUCAAGAGGGAAACAACCCAGACUACCAGCUAAGGUCCCUAAAUCUUACUUAAGUGGAAAACGAUGUGAAGUUACUUAAACAACCAGGAGGUUGGCUUAGAAGCAGCCAUCCUUUAAAGAAAGCGUAAUAGCUCACUGGUCUAGUGAUUUUGCGCGGAAAAUAUAACGGGGCUAAAGUAAGUACCGAAGCUGUAGACUUGCACACAACUUAGAUUAUUUAAGUUUAGAAUAUGAGAAACUAAGUUAUAUGUUUAGUUAUAUUUUUACUGAUUUUUAUAGAGUAAAGAUAGAAAUAAAACUUAGUAAAAUCAGUAAAAAUAUUCUUAGGCUAAAGUUAAGUAGUUUAAGUUGUGUGCAAGUGGUAGGAGAGCGUUCUAUUUGCGUCGAAGGUAUACCGGUAAGGAGUGCUGGAGCGAAUAGAAGUGAGCAUGCAGGCAUGAGUAGCGAUAAUUAAUGUGAGAAUCAUUAACGCCGUAAACCCAAGGUUUCCUACGCGAUGCUCGUCAUCGUAGGGUUAGUCGGGUCCUAAGUCGAGUCCGAAAGGGGUAGACGAUGGCAAAUUGGUUAAUAUUCCAAUACCGACAUUAGUGUGCGAUGGAAGGACGCUUAGGGCUAAGGGGGCUAGCGGAUGGAAGUGCUAGUCUAAGGUUGUAGGAGGUUAUACAGGCAAAUCCGUAUAACAAUACUCCGAGAACUGAAAGGCUUUUUGAAGUCUUCGGAUGGAUAGAAGAACCCCUGAUGCCGUCGAGCCAAGAAAAGUUUCUAAGUUUAGCUAAUGUUGCCCGUACCGUAAACCGACACAGGUGGGUGGGAUGAGUAUUCUAAGGCGCGUGGAAGAACUCUCUUUAAGGAACUCUGCAAAAUAGCACCGUAUCUUCGGUAUAAGGUGUGGUUAGCUUCGUACUAGGAUUUACUCCGAAAGCGAAGAAACUUACAACAAAGAGUCCCUCCCGACUGUUUACCAAAAACACAGCACUCUGCUAACUCGUAAGAGGAUGUAUAGGGUGUGACGCCUGCCCGGUGCUCGAAGGUUAAUUGAUGGGGUUAGCAUUAGCGAAGCUCUUGAUCGAAGCCCGAGUAAACGGCGGCCGUAACUAUAACGGUCCUAAGGUAGCGAAAUUCCUUGUCGGUUAAAUACCGACCUGCAUGAAUGGCGUAACGAGAUGGGAGCUGUCUCAAAGAGGGAUCCAGUGAAAUUGUAGUGGAGGUGAAAAUUCCUCCUACCCGCGGCAAGACGGAAAGACCCCGUGGACCUUUACUACAGCUUGACACUGCUACUUGGAUAAGAAUGUGCAGGAUAGGUGGGAGGCUUUGAGUAUAUGACGCCAGUUGUAUAUGAGCCAUUGUUGAGAUACCACUCUUUCUUAUUUGGGUAGCUAACCAGCUUGAGUUAUCCUCAAGUGGGACAAUGUCUGGUGGGUAGUUUGACUGGGGCGGUCGCCUCCCAAAUAAUAACGGAGGCUUACAAAGGUUGGCUCAGAACGGUUGGAAAUCGUUCGUAGAGUAUAAAGGUAUAAGCCAGCUUAACUGCAAGACAUACAAGUCAAGCAGAGACGAAAGUCGGUCUUAGUGAUCCGGUGGUUCUGUGUGGAAGGGCCAUCGCUCAAAGGAUAAAAGGUACCCCGGGGAUAACAGGCUGAUCUCCCCCAAGAGCUCACAUCGACGGGGAGGUUUGGCACCUCGAUGUCGGCUCAUCGCAUCCUGGGGCUGGAGCAGGUCCCAAGGGUAUGGCUGUUCGCCAUUUAAAGCGGUACGCGAGCUGGGUUCAGAACGUCGUGAGACAGUUCGGUCCCUAUCUGCCGUGGGCGUAAGAAGAUUGAAGAGAUUUGACCCUAGUACGAGAGGACCGGGUUGAACAAACCACUGGUGUAGCUGUUGUUCUGCCAAGAGCAUCGCAGCGUAGCUAAGUUUGGAAAGGAUAAACGCUGAAAGCAUCUAAGCGUGAAGCCAACUCUAAGAUGAAUCUUCUCUAAGCUCUCUAGAAGACUACUAGUUUGAUAGGCUGGGUGUGUAAUGGAUGAAAGUCUUUUAGCUGACCAGUACUAAUAGAGCGUUUGGCUUAUCUUUAAUAAAGCAU